AGUGGCGGACGGGUGAGUAACGCGUGGGUAACCUACCCAUAAAACCGGGACAACUCUGGGAAACUGGAGCUAAUACCGGAUACGCUCGCUAGGUGGCAUCACCUGGCGAGGAAAGGUGGCCUCUGAAAAUGCUGCCGAUUAUGGAUGGACCCGCGUCUGAUUAGCUAGUUGGUAGGGUAACGGCCUACCAAGGCGACGAUCAGUAGCCGGCCUGAGAGGGUGGCCGGCCACACUGGGACUGAGACACGGCCCAGACUCCUACGGGAGGCAGCAGUGGGGAAUAUUGCGCAAUGGGCGAAAGCCUGACGCAGCAACGCCGCGUGGGUGAAGAAGGCCUUCGGGUUGUAAAGCCCUGUCUUUUUGGACGAAGUGCUUUCAGGUAAAUAGUCUGAAAGAGUGACGGUACAAGAGGAGGAAGCCCCGGCUAACUACGUGCCAGCAGCCGCGGUAAAAC
rnacentral:rRNA from 1 species